rnacentral:tRNA from 1 species
AAGAAAUUAGUUAAAAUAUAACAAUAACUUGUCAAGUUAUAAUUACUUAUAAUUAGUAUUUCUUA